UACGUAGGGUGCAAGCGUUGUCCGGAAUUAUUGGGCGUAAAGAGCUCGUAGGCGGCUUGUCACGUCGGCUGUGAAAACCUGGGGCUCAACCCCGGGCCUGCAGCCGAUACGGGCAAGCUAGAGUUCGGUAGGGGAGACUGGAAUUCCUGGUGUAGCGGUGAAAUGCGCAGAUAUCAGGAGGAACACCGAUGGCGAAGGCAGGUCUCUGGGCAUUAACUGACGCUGAGGAGCGAAAGCAUGGGGAGCGAACAGG
rnacentral:rRNA from 1 species